rnacentral:rRNA from 1 species
GACGAACGCUGGCGGCGUGCCUAAUACAUGCAAGUAGAACGCUGAAGGAGGAGCUUGCUUCUCUGGAUAAGUUGCGAACGGGUGAGUAACGCGUAGGUAACCUGCCUGGUAGCGGGGGAUAACUAUUGGAAACGAUAGCUAAUACCGCAUAACAGUAGAUAUCGCAUGAUAUCUACUUGAAAGGUGCAAUUGCAUCACUACCAGAUGGACCUGCGUUGUAUUAGCUAGUUGGUGAGGUAACGGCUCACCAAGGCGACGAUACAUAGCCGACCUGAGAGGGUGAUCGGCCACACUGGGACUGAGACACGGCCCAGACUCCUACGGGAGGCAGCAGUAGGGAAUCUUCGGCAAUGGACGGAAGUCUGACCGAGCAACGCCGCGUGAGUGAAGAAGGUUUUCGGAUCGUAAAGCUCUGUUGUAAGAGAAGAACGAGUGUGAGAGUGGAAAGUUCACACUGUGACGGUAUCUUACCAGAAAGGGACGGCUAACUACGU